GGGUGCCCCACACCCCAUAACCACCCCCCAUAACACCCUCCACCCCCGGCAGGGCUGUACAUGGUGUAGGGUCCCCUAUAUCCCCUGGUCAUGCCCCAUAUCUACGGGUGCCCUACAACCCUUUGGGGUACCCUACAGCCCUUUUGGGGUAUCCUACAACCCUUUUGGGGUGCCCCACACCCCCUGACCCCCCCC